rfam:Lepisosteus oculatus linkage group LG2, whole genome shotgun sequence.
GGCCGGUUAGCUCAGUUGGUUAGAGCGUGAUACUAAUAAUGCCAAGGUUGUGGGUUCGAUCCCCGUACGGGCCA